AUUGAACGCUGGCGGCAGGCCUAACACAUGCACGUCGAACUAGUGGCGGACGGGUGAGUAAUGUCUGGGAAACUGCCCGACGGAGGGGGAUAACUACUGGAAACGGUAGCUAAUACCGCAUACCAUCGGAUGUGCCCAGGUGGGAUUAGCUAGUAGGUGGGGUAACGGCUCACCUAGGCGACGAUCCCUAGCUGGUCUGAGCGGAUGACCAGCCACACUGGAACUGGGACACGGGCCAGACUCCUACGGGAGGCAGCAGUGGGGGAUAUUGCACAAUGGGCGCAAGCCUGAGGCAGCGACGCCGCGUGAGGUAUGAAGGCUUUCGGGUUGUAAACCUCUUACGGUAAAGAACGGGUAUGUGCAGAAGAAGCGCCGGCUAACUACGUGCCAGCAGCCGCGGUAAUUC
rnacentral:rRNA from 1 species